GCUGGGCGUGGUGGCACAUGCCUGUAAUUCCAGGGGCUCUGGAGGCUGAGGCAGGAGGGUUGUGAGUUCAAAGCCAGCCUCAGCAACAGCGAGGCCCUAAGCAACUUAGUGAGACCCUGUCUCUA
rnacentral:sRNA from 1 species